UCUUUAAAAAGCCCCCACGGAUGCCGCGUUUUUACUUUUAAUUACUCCAAGCUUAGCCUGCACGAGGGUGCUUACCCUACGAGCCUCGACUCCACGGGCUAAACUGGAGGCUCCAGGAGAUCAAGUUCAAAGUGAACUGAAAUACCUUUCCUGACCGUGGGACCAGGGCAAGCGUGAAUGAUGUUAUUAUCAGACAGGCACCAUAGCACACUGACCAAAGAGCUUCACCACUAGCUAGUUUUGUGACUGGGUGUGGAAGAUAAAGGUGAUGCUGUUGAAAUAGACCUUGUUGAGUAAGUCAUUUUACGCUCUCUCAUCUACAAGCAAGAGGUAUGAGUGAUCCUUACAGUUCUUGCUGGAUUACGU
rnacentral:lncRNA from 1 species